rnacentral:snoRNA from 1 species
UAUUUAUUUUGCCACGUUAUUGAUAGCUCAAGGUUGGUGACCAGCUAUGCUAAUGAUUAAACCAAAAACAAGUUUUUUCACAUCUUGAUAGAAAUCUGUUCAUCUUUUCUGUGUAGAACCGUUUUGUGUGAUUACAUUC